UAACAGGAUUAGAUACCCUGGUAGUCCACGCCGUAAACGAUGUCGACUUGGAGGUUGUGCCCUUGAGGCGUGGCUUCCGGAGCUAACGCGUUAAGUCGACCGCCUGGGGAGUACGGCCGCAAGGUUAAAACUCAAAUGAAUUGACGGGGGCCCGCACAAGCGGUGGAGCAUGUGGUUUAAUUCGAUGCAACGCGAAGAACCUUACCUGGUCUUGACAUCCACGGAAGUUUUCAGAGAUGAGAAUGUGCCUUCGGGAACCGUGGGACAGGUGCUGCAUGGCUGUCGUCAGCUCGUGUUGUGAAAUGUUGGGUUAAGUCCCGCAACGAGCGCAACCCUUAUCCUUUGUUGCCAGCGGUCCGGCCGGGAACUCAAAGGAGACUGCCAGUGAUAAACUGGAGGAAGGUGGGGAUGACGUCAAGUCAUCAUGGCCCUUACGACCAGGGCUACACACGUGCUACAAUGGCGCAUACAAAGAGAAGCGACCUCGCGAGAGCAAGCGGACCUCAUAAAGUGCGUCGUAGUCCGGAUUGGAGUCUGCAACUCGACUCCAUGAAGUCGGAAUCGCUAGUAAUCGUGGAUCAGAAUGCCACGGUGAAUACGUUCCCGGGCCUUGUACACACCGCCCGUCACACCAUGGGAGUGGGUUGCAAAAGAAGUAGGUAGCUUAACCUUCGGGAGGGCGCUUACCACUUUGUGAUUCAUGACUGGGGUGAAGUCGUAACAAGGUAACC
rnacentral:rRNA from 1 species